GUACGGUAUCCCUGUCUCUGCUCGCCAGUGGCGCUUACCUAGUGACAACCAGAACGGCUCCAGAGAGGGCCAUGUGACACCGCCCCCCACCAUUGGAACCGCUGUACGUGCUCGCAAAUCUUCGGGCAUGCUGCAAGAGGCGCGGCUUCCUUGCCAUCCCCUUGAGUGACUAAUGGAUAGAACAAAGCCGAAGGGCUGGUGUGUGACCUUGGGGACGAGGCUGUAAAAGGCACUGCAGCUUCCUUGAAGCGAACUGCCACGAUCUUGAGGACACUUUAGUGGCCUCGAGAGGUGCCACCUUGACUGUGGCCUCCGUCAAGCCUUCAAGUGCCCGUAGCCCCUGCGGAUCCUGGCAAACACCCAGAUCCUGAGCUAAGACCACCCUGCUGAGCUGUUCCCAAAUUCCCGAUCCCCUGAAACUGUGAGAUAAUAAAUGUAUGUUGUUUAAAGCUA